rnacentral:rRNA from 1 species
AUUGAACGCUGGCGGCAUGCUUUACACAUGCAAGUCGAACGGUAACAGGCCGCAAGGUGCUGACGAGUGGCGAACGGGUGAGUAAUGCAUCGGAACGUGCCCAGUCGUGGGGGAUAACGCAGCGAAAGCUGUGCUAAUACCGCAUACGAUCUAUGGAUGAAAGCGGGGGACCGUAAGGCCUCGCGCGAUUGGAGCGGCCGAUGUCAGAUUAGGUAGUUGGUGGGGUAAAGGCUCAACAAGCCAACGAUCUGUAGCUGGUCUGAGAGGACGACCAGCCACACUGGGACUGAGACACGGCCCAGACUCCUACGGGAGGCAGCAGUGGGGAAUUUUGGACAAUGGGCGCAAGCCUGAUCCAGCAAUGCCGCGUGCAGGAAGAAGGCCUUCGGGUUGUAAACUGCUUUUGUACGGAACGAAAAGGUUUGGGUUAAUACCCUGGGCCGAUGACGGUACCGUAAGAAUAAGCACCGGCUAACUACGUGCCAGCCGCCGCCGUAACAC